GUGCGUGGCGUGUCCGCUGGACCAGGGGACGGGGGCGCGCCGCAGGUGUAGGAGCUUUGCGCGCCUACCUGGCGGUCGUGGGUCGAGGAGGGGUCAAGAAUUGUUGUCUAGCAGCCCUCUCCCCGCUGCCCUGUCCUGGCCGAGGCAAAGGCCGCGUGCGCUCCGCGUCUGCCAGGCUUUAGGGCUGCGCGGACACUGGGUGGGUGGUGGGCCGAGGCGACCGGAAGGUCCUGGCCGCCUUUCCGGUCUCCUCAGCACCCUGGAGCGCCGCCCUCGGGUUUCGGUCUCCUGGAUCUGCGGGUCGGUCUCGGCGGGCGGAUUACUCCUCGCCCACAACCUCGAGGCCCCGGGGUCAACCGCGCCCUCCGGGCCGGCAACCCAGGGUUUAGUCAGAUUCCUCCUGACCCACCGCUUCUGGGAAAGAGGCGCCUCCCGUCAGGAGGAUGCUGAGUUCCUCAUGACUGGACCAGUGAGUGUCCACUCCCUGGUCCCUGGCGAGAGAGGCGGGACCCCCACGCCCUCCUGGCGCUCUUUGCAGAGAUGUUCCUCAGGCCCAAUCCGGGAUUUGGGAUGUCUGUGCGUGCUGUGGAGCAGAGAGUUUGCAACAUGGUCUCACUUUGUCACCCAGGCUGGAAUGCAUUGGCAUGAACACGUCUCACUGCAGCCUCAACCUCCCAGGCUGAAGUGACCCUCCAACUCUGCUUUCACAGUAGCUGUGAUAUGGUUUGGCUGUGUCCCCACCCACAUCUCAUCUUAAAACCCAGUGGGAGGUAAUUGAAUCAUGGGGGCAAGUCUUUCCUGUGCUGUUCUUGUGAUAGUGAAUAAGUCUCAUGAGAUCUGAUGGUUUUUAAAAGAGUUCAGCCUGGGCAAAAUUGAAGACUCUGUCUCCAAAAAAAAAAAAAAGGAGUUCCUCUGCAUAAGCUCUCUCUCUUUGCCUGCUGCCAUCCAUGUAAGAUGUGACUUGCUCUUCCUUGCCCUAUGAUUGUGAGUCUUUCCCCAGCCACGUGGAACUGUAAGUCCAAAUAAACCUCUUUCUUUUGUAAAUUGCCCAGUCUUGGGUAUGUCUAUCAGCAGCAUGGAAAUGGACUAAUACAGUAAAUUGGUACCAGUAGAGUGGGGUGUUGCUGAAAAGAUACCUGAAAAUGUGAAAGUGACUUUGGAACUGGGUAGCAGGCAAACAUUGGAACAGUUUGGAGGGCUCAGAAGAAGACAGGAAAAUGUAGGAAAGUUUGGAACUUCCUAGAGACUUGUUGAAUGGCAUUGACAAAAAUGCUAAUAGUGAUACGAACAAUAAGAUCCAGUCUGAGGUGGUCUCAGAUGGAGAUGAGGAACUUGUUGGGAACUGGAGCAAAGGUGACUCUUGUUAUGUUUUAGCAAAGAGACUGGUGACAUUUUGCCCCUGCCCGAGAGAUUUGUGGAACUUUGAACUUGAGGGAGAUGAUUUAGGGUAUCUGGUGGAAGACAUUUCUUUUUUUUUUUUUGUGACGGAGUCUUGCAUUGUCGCCUGGGGUGGAGUGCAAUGGUCUGAUCUCAGCUUACUGGGUUCAAGCAAUUCUGUCUCAGCCUCCCGAGUAGCUGGGAUUACAGGCGUCCGCCACCACGCCCUUCUAAUUUUUUGUAUUUUUAGUAGAGACGGUUUCACUAUGUUGGCCAGUGGAAGACAUUUCUAAGCAGCAAAGCAUUCAAGAGGUGGCUUGGGUGUUGUUAAAGGCAUUCUGUUUUGACUGGGUGCGGUGGUGCACACCUAUAAUCCCAGCACUUUGGGAGGCCGAGGAGGGAGAAUCGCCUGGACCCGGGAGGUGGAGGUUCCAUUGAGCCAAGAUCAUGCCACUGACUCCAGCCUGGGCAACAGACUGAGACUCUGUCUCAAAAAAAAAGAAAAAAAAAAAGGCAUUCAGUUUUAUAAGGGAAGCAGAGCAUAAAAGUUUGGGAAAUUUGCAGCCUGACAAUGUGAUAGUAAAGAAAAUCCCAUUUUCUGAGAGGAAAUUCAAGCUGGCUGCAAAAAUUUGCAUAAGUACCAAGGAGCCGAAUGUUAAUAUCCAAGACAAUGGGGAAAAUAUCUCCCAGACAUGUCAGAGGUCUUCAUGGCAGCCCCUCCCAUCAACAGGUCCAGAGGCCUAGGAGGAAAAAGUGGUUUUGUGGGCAGCACCCAGGGUCCCCAUGCUAUGUGCAGCCUAGGGACUUGGUGCCGUGCGUCUCAGCUCCUCCAGUGGUGACUGAAAGGGGCCAACAUAGAGCUCGGGCUGCUGCUUCAUGGGGUGGAAGUCCCAAAUCUUGGCAGCUUCCAUGUGGUGUUGAGCCUGCGAGUACAUAGAAGUCAAGAAUUGGGGUUUGGGAACCUCCAUCUAGAUUUCAGAAGAUAUAUGGAAAUUCCUGGAUGCCCAGGCAGAAGUUUGCUGUAGGGGUGGGGCCUUCAUGGAGAACCUCUGCUAGAGCAGUGCAGAAGGGAAAUGUGGGGUCGGAGCCCCCACACAGAGUCCCCGCUGCGGCCCUGCCUGAUGGAGCUGUGAGAAGUGGACCACCGUUCUCCAGACCCCAGAAUGGUAGAUCCACCGACAGCUUGCACCGUGUGCCUGGAAAAGCUGCAGACACUCAAUGCCAGCCUAUGAAAGCAGCCUGGAGGGAGGCUUUACCCUGCAAAGCCACAGAAGUGGAGCUGCCCAAGACCAUGGGAAUCCACCUCUUGCAUCAGUGUGACCUGGAUGUGAGACAUGGAGUCAAAGGAUAUCAUUUUGAAGCUUUAAGAUUUGACUGCCCUGCUGGAUUUCAGACUUGCAUGGGUCCUGUAGCCCCUUUGUUUUGGCCAAUUUCUCCCAUUUGGAAUGGCUAUAUUUACCCAAUGCUUAUACCACCAUUCUAUCUAGGAAGUAAAUAACUUGCUUUUGAUUUUACAGGCUCAUAGGCAGAAGGGAUUUGCCUUGUCUCAGAUGAGACUUUGGACUGCGGACUUUUGAGUUAAUGCUGAAAUGAGUUAAGACUUCGGAGGACUAUUGGGAAGGCAUGAUUGGUUUUGAAAUGUGAGGACAUGAGAUUUGGGAGGGGCCAGGGGUGGAAGGAUACGGUUGGGUUCUGUGUCCCCACCCAAGUCUUAUCUUGUAGCUCCCAUAACCCAUGUGUCUUGGGAGGGACCUGGUAAUUCAAUCAUGUGGGCUGGAUGCGGUUGCUCAUGCCUGUAAUCCCAGCACUUUGGGAGGCCAAGGGGGAGAUCACUUGCGAUCAGGAGUUUGAGACCAGCCUGGCCAACAUGGUGAAACCCCAUCUAUACUAAAAAUACAAAAAUUAGCCAGGCACGGUGGUGGGCACCUGUAAUCCCAGCUACUUGGGAGGCUGAGGCAUGAGAAUCACUUGAACCUGGAGGCGGAGGUUGCAGUGAGCCGAGAUCGCACCACUGCACUCCAGCCUGGGCGUCAAAGUGAAACUUAGUCUUAAAAAAAAAAAAAAAAAGAAGAAUGGGAGUGGGUCUUUCCUGUGCUGUCCUCAUGAUAGAGAAUAAGUCUUACAAGAUCUGAUGGUUUUAAAAAUGAGAGUUAUUUCUCUCUUCUCUUGUCUGCCACCAUGUGAGUCAUGCCUUUCACCUUCCACCAUGAUUGUGAGGCCUCCCCAGCCACGUGGAACUGUAAGUCCAAUAAACCUCUUUCUUUUUUUUUUUUUUUUUUUUUUUUUUUGAGACGGAGUCUCACUCUGUUGCCCAGGCUGGAGUGCAGUGGCGCGAUCUCGGCUCACUGCAAGCUCCGCCUCCCAGGUUCACGCCAUUCUCCUGCCUCAGCCUCCCGUGUAGCAGGCAUUGUCACAGGCGCCUGCCACCACACCCACCUAAUUUUUUUGUAUUUUUAGUAGAGACGGGGUUUCACCGUGUUAGCCAGGGUGGUAUCGAUCUCCUGACCUUGUGAUCCGCCCACCUUGGGCUCCCAAAGUGUUGAGAUUACAGGCGUAAGCCACUGCACCCGGCAAUAAACCUCUUUCUUUUGUAAAUUGCCCAGGUAUGUCUUUAUCAGCAGCAUGAAAAUGGACUCAUACAAUGAUCCAUUACCUAGGGUAAAAUUCUCCUGAAUGUCAAACAGAGAUAAACUACAUUUGGGUUUUGGGUAAGUCCCCUGUAAUGAUGAAUCAAGAAUCCUCAAGUCUGUCUUGCCACCCAUUUAAUACGUAUUUUUGUUAAGGCUGAAGUUUAGAGUUAGAAUCAGGACAUUUUGGCCUAUUGAGAGGUUCUGAAUUCCAACAGAAGAUGCCAUGUAAAUCAGUGAAUUUGAUUCUUUUAAAAGCAACUUACAAAAUUUACAAGAUGUAUUCAAUAAAGCAGUUUAGCUUUGGUAUAUCAAACCUUAUAAUGAACCAUUUUUCCCACUUCAUCUUAUGCAAUGUUUAAUAUUUUCUAUUUUUGUCAAGGAUAUUAAACCUACACCUGGAAACAUAUUAAAUGCCAACUUAAAAUGUGAGAAGUUUGGCAGAACUCAGACCCAUUCUUCCAAUUUCCAAGCUGUUUAAUCACACUGAUUCAGACACUCUGGAUAGCAGCUGGGAUUGUAGUUAUCUUUAUGCUUUGAGCUCUCUAGUUUUGUCUACACAUCUUAUAAAAUAUCCCCUCCUCAUUCUCCUCUAGCUGGAACACUAACCCAAUGGAUGUUGUGGUGAACUUUCUUUGACCAGGCAGAGAAGUGCAGCAUUGGGUGGACCAUGCACAACCAGUUUGAGAAGCACUGCUCUAGGGGUUGGGGGAGCAACAAUAGAAAGAGUGUAGGUUCUGAAUACCUGAAGCAUACAUUUUAGCUCUAGACUGCUUAUAUUGUUGUUACAUGAAAGAGAACUUUUAAUCUGGUUUAAACCACUGGAUCUCUUUAUUCCAGCAAGUGAAUCUAUAUCCAACUAAUAUUUACUCCCAGUCUGUUCUUUCUCACCCCUCUUUCCCUUACUAUAAACCUUUUCUAUAUCAAUUUAUAUCAUUAGUUGCUCAGCCCACAAACCAGAUGUCACUUUUGUUUUCUCUUUUCCUUCCCAUUCAUAGCCAGGCCAUCGUUGUGACUUAUUGGCUGUACCUCCAAAAUAUAUCCCAGAUCUGAUCUCUUCUUAUAAUUUGUACUGCUACAACCUUAGUCAAAGCCACUAAUAUCUCUUAUCUGAACUCCAGUGGUUUACUAGUUUUCUGCCUCUCUUCUUGACACAAUUCAUCUUUCUACAUAGCAGCCAGAGUAAGAUAAAAUCAUAAAUCAGAUCAUAUAACUUCUACCCCCUGUACCAAUGGCUAUCUUUUAUACUCAGAAUAAAAUCCAAAACCUUUAUUUGGCUUCCAAGAUCCUACAAGAUAGAGACCUUACUUCUCAUCUUGUACCCAUCAUUUGAUCUUCAGUCCCUUGAAAAUGCCAAGUCUAUUUCCAUUUCAGGGCCUUUGUGCUUGUUACUAUUGUUUCUUUUCUCUUGGAAAACUGCCCAGAUCUUUCCUUAGCUGAAUUAUUCAGAUCCCAACUCAAAUAUCAUCUCUUUAGAAAAUUCUUUCAGAACCAGGUGUGGUGGUGCACACCUGUAAUCUCAGCUACUCGAGUGGCUGAGGCUGAUGGAUUUCUUGAGCCCAGAAGUCUGAGGCCAGCCUGGGCAAUAUAGCAAGAUCCUGUCAAAAAGAAAAAGGUAUCUCACCAUGAUUAUAUUUUAAUUUCCCUUCAGCAAUUAGAAGUCCCUGAAAUUAAUUUACCUUAUUUGUUGGCAACCUCUGCCUCCUGGGUUCAAGCGAUUCUCCUGCCUCAGCCUCCUGAGUAGCUGGGAUUACAGGCGUGCACCACCACGCCUGGCUAAAUUUUGUAUUUUUAGUAGAGAUGGGGUUUUGCCGUGUUGGUCAGGCUGGUCUCGAACUCCUGACCUCUGAUCUGCCCACCUCGGCCUUCCAGAGUGCUGGGAUUACAGGCAUGAGCCACCAUGGGCCCACAAAGCUAUUUUACUUAGCAUUUUUUUUCCCGAGGCUAAAUUGGGAACUACUGACAAUACUAUUGACAAUACUAAAUAUAUUUUUAAAUUAUUUUACUUAUUUUUGAGACAGGGUCUCACUGUGUCACCCACGCUGUAGUGCAGUGAACCAUCACCACUCACUGCAGUCUCACCCUUCCUGAACUCAGGUGAUCCUCCCACCUCAGCCUCCUGAGUAGCUGGGACUACAGGCAUGCACCACCAUGCCUGGCUAAUUUUUAAAAUUUUUUGUAGAGAUGGAGUUUCGCCAUGUUGCCCAGGCUGGUCUCAAACUUCUGGGUUCAAGUGAUGCAAGUGUCUCAGCCUCCUAAAGUGCUAGGAUUACAGGCGUAAGCCACUAUGCCCAGCCUUUUAUUUUAUUUUAUUUUAUUUAUUUAUUUUUUGAGACAGAGUCUUGUUCUGUUGCCCAGGCUAGAGUGCAGUGGUGCAAUCUCAGCUCACUGCAACCUCUGCCUCCCAGGUUCAAGCGAUUAUCAUGUCUCAGCCUCCCUAGUAGCUGGGAUUACAAGUGUGCACCACACGCGGCUAAUUUUUGUAUUUUUUGUAGAGGCAGAGAGGCAGGGUUUUAUUAUGUUGGCCAAGCUGGUCUUGAACUCCUGGCCUCAAGUGAUCUGCUCACCCCGGCCUCCCAAAGUGCUGAGAUUACAGGUGUGAGCCACCAUGCCCACCAACCUAUUUUUUAUUUUAAAAAAUUGACAGCAUACUAAAUGUUUGUAAUGCAAAUGAUAAAAUUGCUACAAUGAAAACAAGAAGUUGAGAAUUAGAUGAAGAGUUGAUUAAGGGAACUAUGAGUCACUGUGUUAGAGCAUGUAUAUUAUGAAAAUUAUAGCAGAAGUGAUAAAGGGUGACAAUUGUUACCUAUCUUCAAUCAAAAGCUCUUUGAAUAUCUUUCUUUUUUUUAAUUUUAUGAAUUUUUUUUACAGAGACAGGGUCUCACUAUAUUGCCCAGGUUGGUCUCGAACUCCUGGGCUCAAGGGAUCCUCUUGCCUUGGCCUCACAAAGUACCUGGAUUACAGGCAUGAGCCACAGUGCCUGGCCCUCUUUGAAUAUCUUUAAUGCUUUUAGAGAUUAGCAUCAGAGAAUUAUUAAUACUAGAGGGCACAAGGAAUUAGCCAUUGCCAGUGGACACCUACAUAGGUGUGACUAUGUGACUCAGUUUUAAAAAUGUGACACAAUGAAAAAAUUCCUUGGAUGUUAUGGAGGACGAAAAUUUUGUAAGUCCUAUCCAUUCUUUAAUGGAGAAACUAAAAUUUACAAUAUUACUUUAUUUAGCCCAAGAUUUUCUUAAGCUUUGUAUUUUCUAAUUCAGCUUUGGCUUACAGAAUCAUGCUUGAAGUUUGAGACUGCCAGCUUUCAACAGGCAGUUACUAGUGAAACUCUUUGGAAAGAUGAGAAGAUGUUGACAUAAGUGUAAUGUGAGACAAAGCAAAGUAAAAUGUAAUUUUUAAGAAAAUGUUGCCGGGUGUGAUGGUGGCUCAUGUUGCUGUUGGUUGCUAUGGGAGUGAACGAAGGGGGACGAAUGCAGAAAUGAAGACAAAGACAAAAAGAGUAUUUUUGGAAGAAGGGGUCAGGGGACUCCUUGCUUCUAGUGGGCAAGGGCCCUGAGCUUCUACAGCCCUUCAUAUUUAUUAGGUAGAAAGAGCAGGGAGGGAGAGGUAACAGUUGGUCAGCUGCUUGAUUUAUCACAGGUACACAUAAUUGCUUCCUUUGUACAACAGGCUUCAGAUGUUACUAUAGAUAAUCACAAGGAACACUGCGCUUGGGGCAUGACUGCCCUCAGCAACCCUUCUGGCGGCAGACACAGUUGUUAGUUUUCCAACAUCCUGCUUUCAUGAGAACAGUUUUCUGUUUGCUCAUAUAGCCUUCAGUGGUAUACUGAGUUGGUCACGACCUUCAUUCUUUCGGCCUGUAACAUCUCCCCAUUUUUGUUUUUGCAUUAAUUGAAUAAAGGUAAUUGCAGGUUGUGCAGCUCUCAAUUGCCGUUUGGUGGUCCAGCUGAUUUUGCAGACUGUUAACAAAAAACAAAAAUAUAAUAACAUUAAUCCCAUAGUUACAAAAAAGACAUUGAGAUGCUAUUUGAAGUAGGUCCCAGGGUUAAGGCUGUCUAAACCUUGCUGGAAUUCUGCCCAAGCUUUUAAAGAGGGCUGAAACGCUUGAGUCUGCUUAUUCAAGUUAAGGAUUUUACUUUGUAAAUCAUUAAUAUCAAAAGUAACAUUGAAUGUGAAAGCUCCCUGUAAAUGGGCUUUUACAAGGCUCAAUGGAUAUUCACUUUGGUUAUAUACCAAAUUGGUCACACAAAUAUGAGUAUGAUUAAAAUGACAACGCAUUGCUGCUGCAACUGCAAACUUUGUACUUGUUCCCCUAGCCAUAGAACAGUAGUCUUUAACAUUGCCACCUCUGUUUGUAUUUCGGUGUUAAUUUUAUUUUGAAGCAUCCAUGCCUGGUCGACUGUGCAUGUCCAGUUUUCCACAUAUUGAGCUGUUUGAAUGGAGCUGUGCGUUGCUGCUGAGGACAACACAACAGAGGUUAUUAAUGUAACUAAGGAGACUAUAACAAAAAUUAUCAUGCCUAAGGCUCUAUGAGCACGAUGAGUAAGCGGAGUAAAAAGGAGUUUCAUAAGAUGUAAAGCGGGGGUGGCUGCCCAAGGCUAAGAUAAAUUUACAGGAAUUCAUAAUCCAGGAACAUGACCUAGAAUUGUUAGGGUGGAUAUGUCAUGUGUUUGUAUUGUGCUAUGAUUAAGGCAAUGAUACAGUUGACAGGAAUCACAAGUCAAUUGGGCAUCAUCUACCUGGAGGUGGGUUUUUUUUGCUGCUAAGAAAAUAUAAGGAUUAAAAACAAAUUGUAAAUUGAGUGGUAAUAUUUUCUACAAGGGUAACAUUAAAACUGUGUUUAGCACAAUUACUAUUAUUGGAUAGUGUCCCAAUCCAAAUGCUGCCAUUCAUAAAUGGGAGUGCUGCUUUCCAUAUUGACUCCUGAAUUGGACCUCUCUUUCCUUGAUAAUGCCAUUGAGGCAAAGGUGAGCUAAAGCAUGUGCUGUGUCAAGCAAUUUGGGCAGCAGAUUGAGAUUGAAUUGCAAUGUGAUGUAGUGGGAGAUGUUAAAGUUUUGCCACCAGUUCCAGCAAAGUUAAUGCCAUGAGGUCUGAUGCUCAUGUCUCCCAACCAAAUGACCAUGGGGACCCCAGUAAAUAAUGUCUCCCAUUAGCAUGGACUGUUGUCUAGCUAGGGAGCUAAGACACGGGGUCCAAGGAGGGGGGUUAGAAUUAUCAAAGGGAGCCCAUUCUAUAUAAUUAAUACAAUUUGGGUGAUGGGGCCGGGAGUGAUUAGUAACUACACCAGUAAUAUUAGUAGAACUAAGGCCCAAUAGGUACGUAAAUUUUCCAUGGUAACUCAACCAUGCCUGGGAUUGAAUUGCAAGGCAACUGCAGUUGAGCAGUGUAUCCUGGGUGAUGCAUAAAGAAAGGCCCUCCAAUGGAGUGGUAUAAUUGAUACCAUUGUUCUGAGAGUCUAAUUGCUCUGUGUCAGGGGGAGUUAAGGGUCCCGGUGCCCAUGCUCCUUGAUCAUGAUAUAUCUCAGGAGGAGUGUCACCCCGGUCAUACUACCGGGGGGUUAGGAACAUAAGCCCAAUAUGUUUUUGCCUCUGCACAGGGAAAACAUAGCACACAGGAUAUCAUAGCUAGCAUGGCCAUAAACAUGGAGUCAGGGGUUUUUGCCUGACCCUGAUGCUCCAGCAGUUUCUCAUCUUCUUGUGUGGUUUUCUUGAUCUGUAAAACACAAGCAUACCCUCAUCCCCAUGUCAGUAAAUCUACCAGGCCUUUCCAUUGUCCUUCUUCCAGGGAUUUCCAUAAUACUUUUGGGUAAACUUUCCUUUUUCCCUCUAACAUUUGCCAGUGUCAUUCUACCGGAGUCUUAUUAUCUGUACCAGGAGUUAAAAAAUUUAAAGUAAAUAAUGCUAAAUGUAGUAUUGUUUGAGGUGGUAACUGGUCUCCUAUACCUCCUUUUUGUUUUUUCAGCGCAUGUUGUAAUGUUUGAUGUGCCUGCUCUAUAAUUCCUUGUCCUCGAGGGUUAUAAGGAAUUCUUGUUUUGUGAGUGACUGCCUAUAACUGUAAACAAUUUUGAAAAGCAUGACUAACUUAAGCAGGUCCAUUGUCAGUUUUUAAUUGUUUAGGGACCCUCAUAUCGGCAAAUGACAACAGACAAUGUCAUUGGACAUGGCCAGCUGUUUCACCUGUUUGACAUGUAGCAUGCAGCAUAUGAGAAUAAGUGUCUAUAGUCAUAUGAACAUAGCUAAGUUUGUCAAAGGCUGCUAUAUGUGUAACAUCAAUUUGCCAGAUUUCAUUUGGAGCUAAGCCUCGUGGGUUACAUCCUUCUACCGGUAUAACACCAGGGACAUGCUGACAAGUGGGGCAGGCUUGCACAAUAGCUCGAGCCUGGCUUCGAGGCAGAUGAAACAUACAAGUAAGGGCAGAGGUGUUUUGAUGCAGUAAUGCAUGAGAGGCUUCAGCUUGCUGAAACACAGAACCAAUCAAUUUAUCUGCUCUAUCAUUACCUAGAGGUAGUGGUCCAGGAAGUUGUGUGUCAGAGCGAAUAUGAGAAAUUUGAAAAGGAGCAGCAUGAGAGCAAACAGCUCGCUGAAGUCUUAGAAACAAGUUAAACAGCUCUGGUUCUAGGGUGCUUUUAAUAGUAGCAGUCUCAAUGCGACUGGCUACAUUUACAACAUAGGCUAAAUCACAGACAAUAUUAAUAGGAGAGGAAGCAGUGAGCUGUAAAACCUGAAUAACUGCCAUUAAUUCUGAGCAUUGAGCUGAAACACCAGGGAUUUUUAUUGUUUUAAUAUGCUUAGGUCCAUAAAUAGAUGCUCAGACUUUGGAAGAGCCGUCAGUGAAAUAAGUCUGGCCACCUGGAAUAGGCUUGUGAUGAGUAAUCACAGGGAGGAUAAAAGGGUAAACUUUAUAAAAUUGCAAAACUUUGUCUGAUGGAUAAUGAUUAUCUAUUAUUCCUUUGCUUCAGCCAACAUCGUAGAGCGAUGAAGCUCAGUUCCCACAUCCUGACAAGCUUUGAUAAAAUUUCCUAAGCUUUUUAUACAUCUCACAGAUGCCAAUGCAUGUUUACAGUCCGUGUUUGCAUUCUCAAAAGCUAGUUAAGGUUAGCAUUUCUGUAGCCAUGGUAAGAGAAAUCUGACACUUCACUGCCUAUGGUAAUCUUGCAAGAAAAUGUGCAUAGAGCUCCUGUGACCCUUUCAUGAUAUGUAAGAGAUUGUACUGGGACCCUUUCCUCUGGAAUUGUGGCCCAGGUGCGUUUAACAGCCAAGGCACACUGCUUACAAGCAGCGUCUGGGAGUGCUAUUUGAUGUUCUAGGUCUGAAUAGGGGCCACUGCCUAACAGCAUCCUCUGUAAUGUCUCUGUGUCCAGCAGCACGAUUCUAUCUAGCCUGGUCUGCACACAGUUCUUGCCAAUUUAAAUACCAUAUCAGGUAUGCACUAGCAGACAAACAAGUGCAAGCCAAAUGCUUUACAUCAAAGGGUGGAAGGCGCAUAGCGCCAAAUAGAUUCUAGCAGUCCUAAAGUAAAUGGGCUUUGUAUUCCAUUAUUAACUACACUAGCUUUUAAUUCCUUCAGCAACUUAAAUUCUAGUGGGGUGUGUUCAUGAAUAAACUGCUGUGGAUUAUGUGGAUCAGGCCUUACGGAAAUAGGAAAAGCUCAAGGUCCUAAGGGUUCUCCAGCCAUAGCAGUAGAGUGUAAAGUUCUUUGUAUUGGGGUCUCUAUUUCUGCUACUGAAGGAGGCGGUUCAGAUGUUUCUGCUACUAGAGGGGGUGACACAGGCCAAUUUUCAUCCUCCUGCUCCUGUUUAUUAUUUUUAAUUGGCGCUGUUGAGAGAACAGAAAGAUUCUUUCAAAUUUUUUGACUCUGAACAUGACUCCUGCUGUCUAGCAGAAUAAGAAAUGAAUAAUGGCAGGAUGAACUAAACUCCAAAUAUAAAAAAGAAAAUAGCCAAAUUCUUCCCCCAUGUUACCCUGAUUCAGAAACUUCCCGUUCCCAGUACCUCUUUAGGGCACUGACCUUAUAUUAGCUGUCAGCAGACUCGUCGCAGGGUUUCUCAUUCUCGUUCUUCUUGUCAGUGUCAGUUUCUCUGCUCCAGCAGACCUUCACUCACGUCCCUGUCCUAGGUGCCAGUUGUCGCUGUUGGUUGUUAUGGGAGUGAACGAAGGGGGAUGAAUGCAGAAACGAAGACAAAGACAAAAAGUAUUUUUGGAAGAAGGGGUCAGGGGGCUCCUUCUAGUGAGCAAGGGCCCUGAGCUUCUACAGCCCUUCGUAUUUAUUAGGUAGAAAGAGCAGGGAGGGAGAGGUAGCAGUUGGUCAGUUGCUUGAUUUAUCACAGGUAUACAUAAUUGCUUUCUUUGUACAACAGGCUUCAGAUGUUCCUAUAGAUAAUCACAAGGAACACUGUGCUUGGGGUGUGACUGCCCUCAGCAACCCUUCUGGCAGCAGACACAGUUGUUAGUUUUCCAACAUCCUGCUUUCAUGAGAACAGUUUUCUAUUUGCUCAUAUAGCCUCCAGUGGUAUACUGAGUUGGUCACGACCCUCAUUCUUUCGGCCUGUAACAGGCUCAUGCCUGUAAUGCCAGCACUUUUGGAGGCCGAGGCAAGAGGAUAGCUUGAGCUCAGGAGUUGGAGACCAGCCUGGGCAACACGGUGAAACCCCAUCUCUGCAAAAAUUAGCCUGGUGUGGUGGGGUGCGCCUGUAGUCUCAGCUGCUUGUGGGGCUGAGGCGGGAGAAUAGCUUGAGCUCCAGGGGUCGAGGCUGCAGUGAGCCAUAAUGGUGCUGCUGCAUUCCAGCCUGGGUGACAAAGUGAGACUAUCUCAAAAAAAAAAACGGCUGUUAGAUAAAAAUGAAGACAAACAACAUUUGCAAGGAUAUAAAUCUUAACCCAUUUAUUGGGGGUAUAGGCUCUGGUGUCAGAUUUCCAUCUGUCCUGUAUUUUGUAACCACAAAAUUGUCCUGGCUGGAUUAAUUGUAAGGAAGUCCCUUUAAACACAUCUAGACUUCCAAAGUUUGUUUACAUACUAAUUAGUUGUCAUGAAAAGCUGCAUUCAACCCAGGGUCUGAGAUGCCUUUUGUAUAUGAAAAGUGCUUCUCUUUCUGACACUGACUGAAUUACAUACAUAACAGAUUCAUUUAUUUAAAAACAAUUUAAGAGGCUUUUUCUAUAAUGCUGAACCUGCUGUGUGGUAUUUAUGUUUAAUUCUGGUCAAAUUUUCAAAACUAAUAAACACUGCAAUUCAAAACCAUUAAUUAUCAAGCAUAGACCAAGUAUCUGAGGUUAUGAGCACAUAUUUAAGAGGUUAGACUCUGGCAUUCCAGACAUUGCAAAUAAUACUUUUCUCAUUUCUAAAUUUCCUAGAAACAAGUGGAGAUUUGUAAAAGGAAAUAAUACUCUUUAAAACAUUUAUUUUUGACUCAGGAUCUGGCUCUGUUGCCCUAGCUAGAGUGCAGUGGUGCCAUCAUCACAGCUCACACAAUAGCCUGGAACUACUGGGCUCAAACCAUCCUCCCACCUCAGCCUCCCAAGUAGCUGGGACUGCAGAUGCAGGCCAUCAUGUCCCGCUAAGUUUUAUUUUAUUUUUGUAGAGACAGAGUCUAUGUUGCUCAGGCUGGUCCUGAACUCCCGGCAUCAAGUGAUCCUCCCACCUCCCAAUAAAACAUGUACUGAUGGCCAGGCACUUGGCUCACGCCUGUAAUCCCAGCACUUUGGGAGGCCGAGGCGGGCAGAUCAUGAGGUCAAGAGAUCAAGACCAUUCUGGCCAACAUGGUGAAACCCUGUCUCUACUAAAAAUACAAAAAUUAGCCAGGUGUGGUGGCACGCGCCGGUAGUCUCAGCUACUCCGGAGGCCGAGGCAGGAUAAUUGCUUGAACCCCAGAGGCGGAGGUUGCAGUGAGCCGAGAUCGUGCCACUGCACUCCAGCCUGGCGACAGAGCAAGACUCUGUCUCAAAAAAAAAAAAAAAACCAAAAACCAAAAAAUCAAAACCAAAACCAUGUAUUGAUAUCAAAGUUUUUUUAUCCUGGCAGGGCACAGUGGCUCACGCCUGUAAUCCCAGCACUUUGGGAGGCUGAGGCAGGUGGAUCACGAGGUCAGGAGUUCAAGACCAGCCUGGCCAAGAUGGUGAAGACCCGUCUCUACUAAAAAUACAAAAAUUAGCCAGGCGCAGUGGCAGGCGCCUGUAAUCCCAGCUACUCGGGAGGCUGAGGCAGGAGAAUCGUUUGAAACCAGGAGGGUAGAGGUUGCAGUGAGCCAAGAUUGUGCCACUGUACUCCAGCCUGGGUGACAGAGUGAUACUAUGUCUCAAAAAAAAAAAAAAAAAAAAAAGAAAAAGAAAAAAGAAAGAAAGUUGCUUUAUCUUUAAAACUAUAUAUAUUGUUUUCACCCCUACAUAGUCCUUGCCUCCCAGACAUCUCCUCACUAACGUCAGUAGACAAUUUGGCAUCUGAUGGUUUGAAAUAGUUUCUGUAAUCAAAUCCUGAAUAAAAUCCAUUUUAAAGC
rnacentral:lncRNA from 1 species